rnacentral:rRNA from 1 species
UACAGAGGUCCCGAGCGUUGUUCGGAUUCACUGGGCGUAAAGGGUGCGUAGGUGGUGAGGUAAGUCGGAUGUGAAAUCUCCGAGCUCAACUCGGAAAUGGCAUUGGAAACUACCUUGCUUGAGGGUUGGAGGGGGGACUGGAAUACUUGGUGUAGCAGUGAAAUGCGUAGAUAUCAAGUGGAACACCAGUGGCGAAGGCGAGUCCCUGGACAACGCCUGACACUGAGGCACGAAAGCUGGGGGAGCAAACAGG